UUUCAAAAAUAAGUAAACAUUAAAAAGAAAUAAAUAGAAAGGUGAAUCCAGGAACUGCAAGGCAGGCCAUAUUUUCCUGACUUUAUUCUUGCUUCCUUCUUCCCAGCUCUACCUUUACACUUCUCUACACUUUUCCAAACCAGAAAAUGAACAGAUCCCAGACUGGUAACAAGCCGUCUGUGGGCUGCCACCAGCCUACAGGCCACACCUAAAAAGCAGACUGACAGAAUAUACAUAAAAUGAGAACGAAGUGAAGCCACAGAAGCAGCUCAACUCUGGGCCAGGGAAGAACCUGCUAACUUUCAGAACUCCAACACCUCAGGCCUGAGGCUGAAGGGGCUCUACCCACUCGUGCCUCAGGAAACUGAAGACAACCAGGCCGCUUGCAGGAACGAUAGGACUACCCUACUUGUCACCAGUGGAAGGUAAUGAUGAGGGAAGGCAGCAGUUUCCUCCCAAGCUCUCAGGUCUCCACUGUAUCUGAGGAGAGAGAGAGAUGAGAUUGGGCUCAAGAAGCCUGCAAGUUCCUGCGUGAAGGUGGGAAAGAAAAGCGGCAGAAGUGGAGGUUGCUGCCUCAGGGUGCCAUACAUACACCCGUGAGGACAGGGGCCGGGGGAACGUCAAGCAUUAGGAUUAGCCACUCCUUUCAACCAGACUUUCUUCUCAACCUCAGAGAACAAGGUUUCUUUAUGUAUGAGGGAACCUCUCCCGUCGCAUUCUAGAUUCAAUCUUCUUCCUUUUGAAAUUCAAGUCCAUCAAUUAUCUUUUUUCCCCUUUCAUUUUUUAACCAUCUUCCUUCCACUCAGUCAUCCGGAUGGUCUAAGACUCCCGCCCUACCUCAGCAAUUUCAAACCACUUCAGAUCUUAUGAACUCUUCUCUCCUAAAUCUCCCUUCAAAGUGUUACCUCUUCUUUAUUUCACUGCCACCGUCGUAGGUAAGGCCCCCGUUUCUUAUUCUAGACCACAAUAAAUCCUUACCAAGUCUUUAAAA